UGCAUGUGAUCUUUGGGCUCUGCCUGGAAUGCAACACAGUUGACGUUCUGAAGUCAGGGGAGGAACCUACUUUAUAGCGUGACGCCCAUUUCUAACAAAUCGAAAGUUUAAUUCUACUUCACUAAUAUUGUGGAAUGGUCGCAGAACGAGUUUUUGUUAUCCACUAUAGUGAAUUUAUGACUGACAGCGGACCACAGUGGAAUUCACAGUUAGAGGAACAGUUUAAAGUUCAAGAUGGACUGCCCCAGUUGUGGACAUUCUAUUUUGGAGAAAACUGCUAGAUUCUGCAGCCAGUGUGGCCAUCUGCUAUCUGGAAACCCACCCCUCAAGGAGCCGGACAUUACUUCUGAAAGUCCUCCAAAACCAUUAGAGGUGUUGCAACAGAACAUUACUGAAAGGACUGAUGAGGACAUGGCAUCCAUGAACAACUCGGAUACAAAAAAUUCUCCAAAACGGCACAAUGAAGAGACCAACAGCAUCCCUAAGAAAAAGGUUUCUAUUCUCUCACAAACUGACUGUUGCCUGCUCAAGGACAUAUUUUCUCUUACCAUUUCAAGACCCAUAAAACAAAUAGCCCAUUGAACAGUGUGGAGACAGAUUGUAGCUGAGGAGGAUAUGAUACAAACAUUGCAGUGGCACUGACUCAUCCAAAACUUUUCCAGAAUAAUUUUCAACAAAUAGCCAAAGGCUUUAUCGCUGCUGCCUU
rnacentral:lncRNA from 1 species